UGACGAUCGCGGUGGAUUCUGGGAGCUGUGCUCCGGUGUUUUGCUGGUCUGCUACAAAUUUAGCGUUAGCAUGAGCGCUGUAUUUCGGUUGUUGUCCUGCUGCCGUGAUGUAAACUGUUCUAAUACGCUCUCUGGGAGUCAUCUGGUGUCUUUUCUCCGGUCUGCUUCUGGUGGUGAGCGGAUUAAUAAUCCAAAACAAUCCAGCAUUUACAUUUAAAGGCAGUAAAAUUUGAAUUUUAACAUAUGAAGAUGACUCCUGCAGAUGUGUGUGAUUCAAUAAAAAUCAUGUUU